rnacentral:misc_RNA from 1 species
GGAAGGAUCAUUAUCUAAGGUCAAGCGGUGCCCUCGUGGCGCUGCUAGCCUCACCGUGUCUACAUACAAUUGUUGCUUUGGCGCGUCGUCUAACGACCAUGGGCUUCGGCUCGUGCGUGCGCGCCAGAGGACCAAACUCUGAAUAUUAGUGAUGUCUGAGUACUAUAUAAUAGUUAAAACUUUCAACAACGGAUCUCUUGGUUCUGGCAUCGAUGAAGAACGCAGCGAAAUGCGAUAAGUAAUGUGAAUUGCAGAAUUCAGUGAAUCAUCGAAUCUUUGAACGCACAUUGCGCCCCGUGGUAUUCCGCGGGGCAUGCCUGUUCGAGCGUCAUUUAGACCAAUCAUGCCUGGCAUGGUGUUGGGGCACGCGGUUUCGCGGCCCUUAAAAAUAGUGGCGGCGCCAGUAGGCUCUAAGCGUAGUAAUAUACCUCACUUCAGAGUCCUGCGGGUAGUUUGCCAAAACCCCCAAUUUUUCAAGGUUGACCUCGGAUCAGGUAGGGAUACCCGCUGAACUUAAGCAUAUCAAUAAGCGGAGGAAAAGAAACCAACAGGGAUUACCUCAGUAACGGCGAGUGAAGCGGUAACAGCUCAAAUUUGAAAGCUCCUACCAAGGCGCAUUGUAAUUUGUAGAAGAUGCUUUGGGUGUCGGCCCAGUCUAAGUUCCUUGGAACAGGACGUCAUAGAGGGUGAGAAUCCCGUAUGUGAUUGGUGCCGUUGCCCGUGUAAAGCUCUUUCGACGAGUCGAGUUGUUUGGGAAUGCAGCUCAAAAUGGGUGGUAAAUUUCAUCUAAAGCUAAAUAUUGGCCAGAGACCGAUAGCGCACAAGUAGAGUGAUCGAAAGAUGAAAAGCACUUUGGAAAGAGAGUUAAACAGUACGUGAAAUUGUUGAAAGGGAAGCGCUUGCAACCAGACUUGCAGGCGGUCAAUCAUCCAGGCUUCUGUUUGGUGCACUUGAUCGUCUUCAGGCCAGCAUCGGUUUGGUGGUGGGAUAAAGGCUCAGGGAAUGUGGCUCUUCGGAGUGUUAUAGCCCUGGGUGCAAUGCCGCCUACCGGGACCGAGGACCGCGCUUCGGCUAGGAUGCUGGCGUAAUGGUUGUAAGCGACCCGUCUUGAAACACGGACCAAGGAGUCUAACAUCUAUGCGAGUGUUUGGGUGUCAAACCCAUACGCGUAAUGAAAGUGAACGGAGGUAAGAGCCCUUUAGGGUGCAUUAUCGACCGAUCCUGAUGUCUUCGGAUGGAUUUGAGUAAGAGCAUAGCUGUUGGGACCCGAAAGAUGGUGAACUAUGCGUGAAUAGGGUGAAGCCAGAGGAAACUCUGGUGGAGGCUCGCAGCGGUUCUGACGUGCAAAUCGAUCGUCAAAUUUGCGUAUAGGGGCGAAAGACUAAUCGAACCAUGAGGUUGCUAGGUGGUUAAGAGUGAGAAUACUAGUCCGCUACGGCGGGCAACACUUUCAAAGUGCGGGGACCUCCUGUCAAGUUCGUCAGCUACCGCAGCCGCGCCGAAAGGGCGGCGAGCACCGGGUCUUCAGGGCCUGGGGAUGGUAACAACGCUGGCGAUAGGGACGAUCCGCAGCCAAGUCCUACGGGCGCAAGCCUAUGGACGCAGUUCACAAACUAGAUGUAAGUGGGCCUCACAGGCUUAAGUUAUAGUCGACCCCCCGCGAGAGCGGGAAAGGAACAGUGCUAGUAGCUGGUUCCUGC